rnacentral:rRNA from 1 species
UACGUAGGGACCGAGCGUUGUCCGGAUUCAUUGGGCGUAAAGAGCUCGUAGGCGGCCACUCAAGUCGAAUGUGAAACCUCGAGGCUUAACCUCGAGCCUGCAUUCGAUACUGGGCGGCUAGAGUCUGGUAGGGGGAUCUGGAAUUCCUGGUGUAGCGGUGGAAUGCGCAGAUAUCAGGAGGAACACCGGUGGCGAAGGCGGGAUCCUGGGCCAGUACUGACGCUGAGGAGCGAAAGCGUGGGGAACAAACAGG